rnacentral:rRNA from 1 species
CAGGGCGACAGGUGGUGCAUGGUUGUCGUCAGCUCGUGUCGUGAGAUGUUGGGUUAAGUCCCGCAACGAGCGCAACCCUCGACCUUAGUUGCCAGCAUUCAGUUGGGCACUCUAAGGUGACUGCCGGCUAAAAGUCGGAGGAAGGUGGGGAUGACGUCAAAUCAUCAUGCCCCUUAUGACCUGGGCUACACACGUGCUACAAUGGGCGGUACAAAGGGUCGCGAACCCGCGAGGGGGAGCCAAUCCCAAAAAGCCGCUCUCAGUUCGGAUUGCAGGCUGCAACUCGCCUGCAUGAAGCCGGAAUCGCCAGUAAUCGCGGAUCAGCAUGCCGCGGUGAAUACGUUCCCGGGCCUU